rnacentral:rRNA from 1 species
AUUGAACGCUGGCGGCAGGCCUAACACAUGCAAGUCGAGCGGAGCGGCGGACGGGUGAGUAAUGCCUAGGAAUCUGCCUGGUAGUGGGGGAUAACGUCCGGCAACGGGCGCUAAUACCGCAUACUAUCAGAUGAGCCUACGUGGGAGUAGCUAGUUGGUGGGGUAAAGGCUUACCAAGGCGACGAUCCCUACCUGGUCUGAGAGGAUGAUCAGUCACACUGUAACGGAGACACGGUCCAGACUCCUACGGGAGGCAGCAGUGGGGAAUAUUGGACAAUGGGCGAAAGCCUGAUCCAGCCAUGCCGCGUGUAUGAAGAAGGUCUUCGGGUUGUAAAGCACUUUAAGUUGGGAGGCGUUACCGACAGAAGAAGCACCGGCUAACUUCGUGCCAGCAGCCGCGGUAAUAC